UACAGAGGUCUCAAGCGUUGUUCGGAUUCAUUGGGCGUAAAGGGUGCGUAGGUGGCGCUGUAAGUCGGGUGUGAAAUUUCGGAGCUUAACUCCGAAACUGCAUUCGAUACUGCGGUGCUUGAGGACUGGAGAGGAGACUGGAAUUCAUGGUGUAGCAGUGAAAUGCGUAGAGAUCAUGAGGAAGACCAGUGGCGAAGGCGGGUCCCUGGACAGUUCCUGACACUGAGGCACGAAGGCCAGGGGAGCAAACAGG
rnacentral:rRNA from 1 species